ACUGAUUCCAAGCCGCAAUAUUAUCUUGACUCUUUUAAAUAUUUCGAAGGCUGGAAAUUGAUUAAAGCAAGGAUCUCAAAGAGUAGAACUUUUAAAGAUUGCCGAAUGUGAAGAGAUCAUGGAUUCAUGGCAAAGUUAUUUACAGAAACUUCUACAAGGCUUGUUCUGUUUCCAGAGAUCAAUUUUCUUCCUAAUGUAAAUUUUCUUCAGAUUAGUGAUUGCAAGGCUUUACAUUCUUUACUUGAAGGAUUGAAUGGCCUCACCUCCCUUAAAAAAGUUAUCUAAAAAAAUUGUACAAGUCUUGUUUCUUUUUCAGAUAUCAAUUUUGUUAGCAAUUUGAAUUCUCUUUAGAUCAGUUGUUGUAAGUCUCUACAAGCUUUACCAAAAGGAUUGAGUAUUGUUCAUUGCUAAAAGAACAGUGAAGAAAGGGUAAAGGAAAAUGCUAUUCAAAGAUUACUCAAUUCCCUACCAUUCAAGUUGAUGACAUAUUCAUCUACCAUUCAGAGAAGGAAAACGAGCCGAGCUUUUAUUUCAGAGCGUUCAAUCAGACAAUCAUUUCAUUGCAUCCAAGAUGAUCAUCAAGAAGACACUCGAAGCAGUAGUUUGUCCAGAUAAGUGGUGUUUCUACAAUUCAGGGGAGGAACAUUUAAGAGUAGAAUCUGAGCUUAUUUUAGAUCUCAAUAUGAAGAAAUUGAUCAGAAAAAUUAUCUCAUUCAAUCCCAGCUUCGUCACUUUCUAACAACCAAGUGGUGUUUCUACAAUUCAGGGGAGGAACAUUUAGAGUAGAAUCUGAGCUUAUUUUAGAUCUCAAUAUGAAGAAAGUGAUCAGAAAAAUUAUCUCUUUCAAUCCCAGGUUCGUCACUUUCUAACAACCAAAUCUCAGGUCAUGACCUAACCACGACACCAUGAACAUAUUGCGAUGACAAGAGGCAUGUGAAACCUGAAAAAGUGCAGUACUUGCAGGGCAGCAAUGUAGGCGCUGGAUUCAGACAGUUUCUUGAUCACCAAAGGCAGUGUGUUCACGUCUUCUUCCUCCAUUAUUUAUAAGCUGGUGAACGGGGUAUGUUACAGAAUUUUAUGGGUAAAAAGUGUCGUAAUUUCUGAGCUAUUGUUAGUAAAUAAGUGUCAAAAUUUUCUGAAAUUUGUGUGCAUAAAGUGAGAGAGAGUGGUAAAAGGGUGUACAUGGGAUCUUGGUUGGACUUGGGGUUUGGGUAUAAACUUGAACGGAUUAGACUUGUAAUAUAAUCCCCAAUUUUAUUCACCUGAAACUCUUAUUUUAUGGAAGUCGGCAUGAUUUUGUCGAACUAUGUAAGUUUGGUGUUCUCUUUAUGUCA